rnacentral:ncRNA from 1 species
GAAAAUACAUUGAAGAGAAGAGUAAAUAAGGUUGUUCUUUCUAGAGAGCUCGGAUUGCUGAAAACGAGUAAGAACGAGUUAUUGAAACAAGUCUCGGAGUAGCGCAUUGGAUUCCUUAAAGGUUGAUGGUGCGACGGGAACUCCCGUUACAGAGUUACAGUAUACGCAUUUAUGCAGUACUAAAUAAGGUUAUUAUGGAGACAUAAUAACGAACUAGGGUGGCACCACGUGAGCGUAAAAUUCACAAUCUCGUCCCUAAG